rnacentral:lncRNA from 1 species
UAGACGGAGAGAAACUGCAAAUGCUUCUUUUUGUUGAUGCUGUUGCCCUCGUAGCAUAAGUACUGCAAGAAUGUGAACAAUUACAGCCGAAAAUUCAAGCGGAAGCUGCUAUGAUAGAAUUCGAAAUUCACCCCUGAGGAGUGAAACAGACCCAGAUAUGUGAAGCUUGAAUAUAUCUACCUGAGUAAAGUGAUAUUUGCUGGGCUGAGAAAAGGAUAGGAGAAGAAACUGGGUGCAGAAUUGGCUUUUGCCUCUUCUUCCUACCUGAGCCAUCCAGACAGCACAGCUGCCCCCCAGGUAGGUCUCAACUAAGAUGUGUACACGUGGUUGAGGCUACCAUAGAACACAGGAGCUUUGUAGAGCACAUCAAGUC